UGCAGGCUGCAACUCGCCUGCAUGAAGCUGGAAUUGCUAGUAAUCGCGGAUCAGCAUGCCGCGGUGAAUACGUUCCCGGGCCUUGUACACACCGCCCGUCACACCAUGAGAGUCGGGAACACCCGAAGUCCGUAGUCUAACCCGCAAGGGAGGGCGCGGCCGAAGGUGGGUCCGGUAAUUGGGGUGAAGUCGUAACAAGGUACC
rnacentral:rRNA from 1 species